GAGAGAGGUUGCCCUUAAAAUCUAGACCAAUCUAUAGCUUAGCUUAGAGUUCCAUUGACUUCCUUCUUUUAAUAACAAUAUAAUUUUUUUUCACUGCACUGCACUCAUCACAUUUCUUCUCCCUUUCUUCUAUACAUAAGUCAGAUUCCUUUGUAUUGAGAAAAGGAAACUCCCAAGCCAAUGUAGAAGGAAGAAUUCUGGUGAAGCAGGAAUACAUUUGGAUUUGAUUGGUGAGGAUUGGGUGUCUUUUUUUAGUGGCAGAUAUGUUUAAGAACCAGCUUCAAGAACUUGCGCAAAGAAGCUGUUUCAACCUCCCUUCUUAUACUUGCAUUAGAGAAGGACCUGAUCAUGCACCAAGAUUCAAAGCUUCUGUGAACUUCAAUGGUGAGAUCUUUGAAAGUCCAAGUUACUGCACCACAUUGAGACAGGCAGAGCAUGCAGCUGCUGAAGUAGCCUUCAAUGUUCUUUCUUCCAGGGGUCCUUCAAGGUCUUUAACUGCAAGGGUUCUUGACGAGACUGGAAUUUACAAAAACCUUCUUCAAGAAACUGCACAUAGAGCUGGGCUUAACCUCCCUGUAUAUACUACUGUAAGGUCAGGUCCUGGUCAUGUCCCAACUUUUACUUGUACUGUGGAGCUUGCUGGCAUGAAAUUCACAGGAGAGUCAGCAAAAACAAAGAAACAAGCAGAGAAGAAUGCUGCAAUAGCAGCUUGGUCUGCUUUGAAAAGAAUGCCUAACCUGGAAUUCUUGGCAAACAAAGAAUUAGAGAGUCGUGAGGAACAAGAUCAAGCAGUUCUGGCAAGGGUCCUCUCAAACUUUAGAUCCAAAGAUGAAUACAAACAAAGGAAGAGGGAUCAUGGCCAAGCAAGAAGAAGAAUGGUGAGGGGUUGCAGAGACAUUAAUAACUCUGCAUCAUCUUCCUCCUCCACCACCAAUAACUCUCUGCAGCUUCAACAUUGGAAGCUCUUGGAUCUGUUAUUGGAUUCUGCAUUAGACAGUUCAAUAGAAAAGCAAAGAUCCUUUGUGUCUCUCCUUCCUCCACCCCCACCUAGAACAACUUCAAAGAUUUUGCCACCAACCUCACCCGGAGAUGAUCCAGCUCUCUACCAAUCAAUCAGAGGCAUCCAUCAAACACAAGUUAAGGGCAAACAAGAAGUGAAAAUGCAAGAGAUUCCAGUUCCAGUGGAAGAGCAUCAAAAGGAUGAGGAAGAAUGGCUGGGUGCUAUCAAAAAACCCAUUGAAAAGGACAGUACAGGUUUUAUGUACAGGCCAUUUCCACGGUCCAAUCCUGGUAAACUUGGUGCAACCCAGCAGGAAUCAAGCCACAUUAGUACUAAAAGAAUGUUUGGGUCUCCAAUUGCAUCAACAUCCUCAAGAAUCCACAUAGCUAAUCCUCUCUACACAGGAGUGUCUCACGCUCACAGGAUUGCCCCGGCAGUUCAUAUUAGGUCAGUGAUUCCAGUUUGUGCAGCACCACCACCAGUAGUCAGACCUCAGUCAGCAUCAGUUUUUAGUACUGGUUCAUCACCAUCUACUAGUUCAAAGUCCAAGCAGACAGGAGGAGCACAAGCAGCAGAGCUAGCAGUGGUCAACAAGACACAGUCACAACCAACUCAACUCAGUUCUGCGUUUAACAAGAAGCUACAGUUAUGAAAGAAAAAGAAAAUUGAGACAAAUCUUAUUAUUUCUAGCCAGUUUUCACCUGAUGGGUUCUCACCUAAUUAGUGCUUUUCAUUUUUGGCCUCUCAAGAAAAAAAUCAUGGUUUUGUCUCAUGGCUUUCUGGUUAAAUUUUUUUGCACUACAACAUCCUUGCAUUAGAUGUUAUAAAUUUUACACCUUCCACCUUCACCUCUGCAUUUACUGCACCACACACACACACACACACACAC
rnacentral:misc_RNA from 1 species